rnacentral:rRNA from 1 species
GUCCUAGCUCAUGCGAGUCGAACGUUAAAACCGGGCUAACCUGCAAGUAAAGUGGAGGACGGGUGACUAAUACAUCAUAACGUGUCCAGUAUUGGGGGAUAACCUAGCGAAAGUUAGGCUAGUACCGGAUACAAUCUGUAGAUGAUACCGGGGGAUGCACCACUAAAAGCUUUGGGAAAACUACAGUCGCAUGCAAUCCAUGAGUUGAUGGUGCUGUACCUCUCGUUAUUGGAGCGGGUGAUGUCUGAUUAACUACUGGGUGAUGUAUUGGCUUGCCAUCGCGACGAUCAGUAACUGGUCUGAGAGGA